rnacentral:lncRNA from 10 species
CUUGCACUUCGGAAAGAAGGAGCUCUCCUUAGGCUGGGAGGGGCCAAGCCGCUGGCCCGUGAGCCUGGGGCAGCUCUGGACUGUGCUUGCUGUCCUUGAGGAGAAUGCAGCCAGCCCAGGGCAAAUCAGAGCCAGGCAGAACAUGGCCCUAACAGUGGGCAGCAUGAAACUGAGGAACACAGCAGGAAGCUGAUUUAGGCAAACUCAGCAGGAAGUGUUCCCUGUGAACCCAUGAGACUUCAUCCCUGCGUUGGUCUGGCUGGCUUUCCCUGUGAGAUACAGGUUCCUCCUGAAGAGCUGAAGCUCCAUUCCAGCUCUAGACUUCUCCUUGCUUUCAGACUUCAAGAUGAGAAGCAUUUUUCCAGUCCACAAGUGUUAGAGGACACUGCCGAUGAUGUGUGUUUUGCCCAGGCUGGACUCAGCUUCUUUGUCUCGUUUUGAAAGAAGAGUCAUGCUUCAAUUAAUAACAGACAACGGAGUCAAUAUGAAGGGAGCAGAGACAAUGAUGUGAUCAAAUGCCAAGAAAUGACUGACAGCAGAAAAAAUAUCAUGACCACUGUGGGAGGAGGUACUUUCUCUUUGUCAGAAGAACAGAAGCAAAUGGUCUGCUUAUAGCCUUUUAUGUGACGAUGUGCCCUUUCUGCCACUGCAAGGGAAAGAGUCAUCUUUGCUCCUCCAUUUUGGUUUAUCCUAAGAAAGACCAACACUAUGUCUAGCCCAGAGAGAGAAACACAUAAAAUAAAUACAAGUUAAAUCUUCAAUGGGACAUCAAGUUCCAUGUACAAGGCUAACCUAGACUAUAAAGUCCUUGAAAAUGUACACUUGAUAAGAGUAGGGGUCUUGCCUGCCUUAUCCACUGCAUAGCUCCAGUCAAGAGAAGUCAUUGCCACGGAAAAGGCACCCAACAAACAUGCCUUUAACUUGUUGAAUGAACCCAUCAAAUUCCUGAUAGUGGAAGUUUGGACACUGGAGUCGCAGGUGGGGAAAGAAACCAUGAUGCAAUAGGACCCCAAUUACACGUGGGUUCUGCUUAUGUUAGAAAAGCUUCCUGACUUUGUGUGCAGUCAAGUCCUGUGGCUUGUGGCCAAGGGAGGAUCUUUUCUUUUUUACCCAUGGAAGAUGACAUUGGUAUGUUGGAGUAAUGAUCCAGAAGAUAAACAUGAAUACAGACAAAUUCUGAAUUUGGAUUCAAAUAACAAGUUGCACAAAAACAAGGUACUCAGUUAUUUCUGAGUAUUGCUCUGUGCGUGGCACUGUGCUGUACAUUGAGGAUAUGAAGAUGAGUAAGUCUCAGUCUAUAUCUUUAGAGACCUCACAGCCUGGAAAGAGAGUUAAAAAAUAAUUACUAUUCAACAUGGCAAUGGUUAUAAAGGAGCAGAUUUUCCAAACUGGUGUUUCAAGGAACAUUCUUUGGCAGGAUGUUAAAAACAGGAAACAGCAAGCCUGAAAAAGGAAAUUGACGAAGAAACAAUUUGGUUAUUCUUGACUCAGUGGCCAAGGAGGGAACACAGAUGCAAGGAAGACUGGGAAAUGCAGUAUACAGCUGGAGACAUCAUUGCCCUAAAUAAAAAUAGGACUCUUACCAAGAAGGGAGAGGAGAAUGGAUAUUGGGUGGCAUCACAGUCUCUCACACCUGAGCAUCUGAUUCUGUCAGAAGUUAAAUGAUGACCUCUCCUGUGGAUCCCUGGGUUCUUAUGAAGCAUGAGUAUAAUACAAGAUGUCAACAGGUAUUGCAAAGAUACUUAUGGAGCACCCCCAUGUUUGAGGAGCUGUGCGAGGCCUUGGAGUUGAAGCCGUGAGUAGAAAGACAAAGGCUCGGGCUCAGGAGCUUAUAUUCUAGUGAGAAGAGUGACAAUGAAGAUGCAGCUGCCAGGAUCUACCACAACCUGUACAGGAUGUUUUGGGACAGCGACUUGGAGCAGCAUUUGGUGGGAGAGGACGGAAGCUGUGAGACGUCAGCUCUGAGCCCUGAGUCCAGGGCUGGUCCUGUGGAGACAGGGGUUGCUAUGUCAUGAGCAGUGUGUGUGUGAGUAUGAGGUGUGGGAGGAAAGGUAGUAAGAAGCUGAGAAAAUGCCUCAAGCUGACCUCUCCCAAGGGAGUUGGAGCCAUGAGUACCUGGGCACCCUGAGGUGAACACUCCUUGCUCUGUGGGUCUCUAGUAUCUAACAAUAAGACCCCACCUGCACCUAUUGAUACACCUCAGGGUGAGAGGCAAAGAAACAUCACUGGGAAACUACAGACACGCAAUCAGGACUUUUCUCUAAUGUAAAGAGAACUUAGGGUCAGGAUUCAGGGAUCAAAUCUAGCUUCCUUGUUUGGCCUCUCUGAGUCUUUGUCCCUUUGCCUCUAAAACUGAGUAUUUCCUUGCCUUAUCUGAGCUUAUGUAAGGGCUAAAUGGGACAUGCUAUACCAAAAACAAUUUAUGGAGACCCAGUUCACUAUAAGAGUACAAUGCAUUCAUCUUCUUCAUCUUUGUAACUUUCGCUACUCCUUUCUGUUUAAAUUGAAACAGAUCUGGAGGCUUGUUUUCUAGAGGAACAACAAUGAAAAAAACAAGCAACAGGGAAAGUAGUCUUUGGUUAGUGAGUAUUCAGGAAAUUUCGGGGCAAAACAAGGAAGGUGAUUGGAACCCUAAUAAGAUCGCUUCCAGCAUAAGGAUGACAGUGAUGGCAGAGAGGAGACUUCAUACUUGGACAUAGCUUUGUGAGCUCCUAAAGAAGCCCAGCUCAUAGUCUGCCCUUCCAGAUAGCCUGCUGAAGGAACAGUGAAGUUUGGAGCUGAAACAGCUUCCUGAGCAGAAAUCUAGUUCAUUUCCCCAUGCUCAGGAGAGUGGCUUAGAAGCCACCAUCUCUGCCUUUUUUUCCUGUUGCUGUCUGUGGCUGACUGUGGCAGGUGGGAAGCUCUGGGAGCUCCAGCUCUGUCCUCUGUCCUUGCAGACACCCAGGGUGGGUGACCACAGCCUAUGAAGUAAGCCAGUCCUUAAUCCAUGGAGCACAUGCCCAGAUACAGGGACAUGGUGCCAUAAUGGACACUCCAAAAUGCCUACUCCCCAUGGUUGGACCAUGUCCAGAUGACGUUUUUUUUUUUUGUUGUUGUUUGUUUGUUUGUUUGUUUUUGAGACAGAGUUUCACUUUUGUCACCCAGGAUGGAGUGCAAUGGCACGAUCUCGGCUCACUGCAACCUCCAUCUCCCGGGUACAAGCGAUUCUCCUGCCUCAGCCUCCCGGGUAGCUGGGAUUACAGGCACGUGCCACCACGCUGGCUAAUUUUUG